rnacentral:rRNA from 1 species
GUGAGGUAAUGGCUCACCAAGGCGACGACGGGUAGCCGGCCUGAGAGGGUGACCGGCCACACUGGGACUGAGACACGGCCCAGACUCCUACGGGAGGCAGCAGUGGGGAAUAUUGCACAAUGGGCGCAAGCCUGAUGCAGCGACGCCGCGUGAGGGAUGACGGCCUUCGGGUUGUAAACCUCUUUCAGUAGGGAAGAAGCGAAAGUGACGGUACCUGCAGAAGAAGCGCCGGCUAACUACGUGCCAGCAGCCGCGGUAAUACGUAGGGCGCAAGCGUUAUCCGGAAUUAUUGGGCGUAAAGAGCUCGUAGGCGGUUUGUCGCGUCUGCCGUGAAAGUCCGGGGCUCAACUCCGGAUCUGCGGUGGGUACGGGCAGACUAGAGUGAUGUAGGGGAGACUGGAAUUCCUGGUGUAGCGGUGAAAUGCGCAGAUAUCAGGAGGAACACCGAUGGCGAAGGCAGGUCUCUGGGCAUUAACUGACGCUGAGGAGCGAAAGCAUGGGGAGCGAACAGGAUUAGAUACCCUGGUAGUCCAUGCCGUAAACGUUGGGCACUAGGUGUGGGGGACAUUCCACGUUUUCCGCGCCGUAGCUAACGCAUUAAGUG